rnacentral:rRNA from 1 species
CCAGAUGCGUGAAGUAAUGUGAAUUGCAGGACACAUUGAACAUCGACACUUUGAACGCAUAUUGCGGCCAAGGGUCCGUCCUUUGGCCACGCCCGUCUGAGGGUCGGCGAAGUUCUACCCAUCGCCGGAGGCUCUUUCCGGCGCGUUGAGCUCGCGUAGCAGCUGCUCCGCGUCUCCAAGUGCAGACCCGGUCCUUCCGCCGUGCGGCUCGUUUCGAGCUGCCGGGAAGGCCGACCUGGAAAUGACUGACCGCUUUUCUUUCUUUUUUCGUCUUUUUCAAGGAGAAGAAGAAGAAGAAGAAGAAAAGGUGCCCGUCCUCCCGUCGUGGGGCAUGAAGGACAUGGCUCGGAUCAACGCCCCUCUCGGGGGCCGGCAUGCCUUCGCGCCACCUCCGGCGCCUUUUCUCGAUGAAAAGCGGAUCGAGCGUCUCUCAUUUCCGACCUCAGAUCGGACGAGAUUACCCGCUGAAUUUAAGCAUAUCAC